GUUGCAAAGAACUUUGAAGAGAGAGUUCAAGAGUACGUGAAACUGCUGAGAGGCAAACUGGUGGGCCCUCGAAAUCCCGUUUGCGGGGAGAUUCAGUCGGGUGUCGGCGGCCGUCUCUAAAAUGGGUCUGUCGCAACCGAAGAUCGGGGCACAUUCCGAGGGACGAGUUCCGCUGGAACCCGACGCAUUUCCCGCCCGCACGAAAGGAACGCCGCAGCCGGUCGGGUAGCUGCGCGUGUCGGCCAUGAGGACGUUGCAACGGCAGGUGACCGGCGGCCCUAGGCUUCUCCGGAGGCACUAACGGUCGACGGUUGAUUAGCCGGCUCGUCCGUGGCGCGACACCCGACCGAGGUAAAGAGAGAGACAGAGAYGGGGAUACGUCUCCACGGAGACGUCCCCGUCUGCAAUCCACUACUUUCAAACGAGAGAGCGAGCCGUCGGACAGGCGCGUUCCUGCGUGGUCGGACAGUCACCGCACUGGUCGAUCUGGUGGGAGCGCGUCGAUCGUACCGAGUCAGGAUCUCGCGGAGGAUGAAGGCUGGCGGCGAGUAGGUCGGUAACCCACCCGACCCGUCUUGAAACACGGACCAAGGAGUCUAACAUGUGCGCAAGUCGCGGGGUCUUGUUCAGGCCCAAAGGCGAAAUGAAAGUGAAGGCCGCCGCUUCCCCUUAUUCAGUUAGGGGCGGAGUGAGGCGGCCAGGUCGGGACUCGCACGUGACACGGGACGUGACGAAGCACCGACGACCCGCCCUGUUCUAUCUUCUCGAUAGGAACUCAAACGGAGUUUGAGCGCACACGUUGGGACCCGAAAGAUGGUGAACUAUGCCUGGGCAGGACGAAGCCAGAGGAAACUCUGGUGGAGGUCCGCAGCGGUUCUGACGU
rnacentral:rRNA from 1 species